UGGGGAAUAUUGGACAAUGGGCGCAAGCCUGAUCCAGCCAUGCCGCGUGGAUGAAGAAGGCCCUAGGGUUGUAAAGUCCUUUCGGUGGUGAAGAUAAUGACGGUAACCACACAAGAAGCCCCGGCUAAUUUCGUGCCAGCAGCCGCGGUAAUACGAAAGGGGCUAGCGUUGUUCGGAAUUACUGGGCGUAAAGCGCGCGUAGGCGGCCUGCCAAGUUAGGGGUGAAAUCCCGGGGCUCAACCCCGGAACUGCCUCUAAAACUGGCAAGCUGGAGGAUGCGAGAGGAUAGUGGAAUUCCGAGUGUAGAGGUGAAAUUCGUAGAUAUUCGGAAGAACACCAGUGGCGAAGGCGACUGUCUGGCGCAUUUCUGACGCUGAGGCGCGAAAGCGUGGGGAGCAAACAGGAUUAGAUACCCCCGUAGUCC
rnacentral:rRNA from 1 species